rnacentral:lncRNA from 1 species
UGGACCCAGCGAGAUAAUCUUUCAAGAAACCAUUCUUCACAAGCUCGUCCAACUGAUAGCCCAUCGCCAAGCAGUUGUUAAUAUGGUGCCCAAACGCCUCGUGGAAUUCGCACCAUGAUUCCUUGUGAGGCCCCAGAAUUUUGUCAGACUUUACUGGUGGCCUCAACCUGUCAGCUAUGUUGGGCACAACGAUGAGGUCUUUGAGUUCCACCCUAAAGUUGUGCCUUAGUGGUCUACUUCCUUCUCUCCUUCCUUCGGCUCGACCCCUUGGCGGGGCCCUCCUUGUCUCAUAAGUGCGCUUUCUGUCUGAGUUCCUUUUCUCUGUGGCAGCUUCGUGGACCCUAGCAGGUUGUGUGCGUAUCUGCGCCUUUGGUCGCGCGGGUGCAGCAAUCGU